rnacentral:snoRNA from 1 species
GUCUAGCACGGAUGUCAAAUUACAAUUCGGUCUCUUUUAAUGACUGUUGGUUGUGCCGAAGAUGUGCUGAAAGCAAAUUUAUGCAAGUAUCUCAGGUGGUGACACCGACUACAAUGCCCGUACUUCAAUAACCUUCUUUAUGAAGGGGAAGGCAUUGUAUUGCAAACAUAU